AGAAGAAGAAGAAGAAAUAGAAGAAGAAGAAAAGAGGUCGACGACGCGCUAAUUACGGUAGCGGCCGUUCUAGUCCUAUUUGCACGGAGUCGCGAGAGAUAGUCGUCGACGCUUUCUGAAACGUGGAUUCUAGUUGAUUGACACCACUACAGGUUCCAGUGCGAGUUUUGAGGCCGAGGAUCGUGGCAAGGGCCCUGCAGCUU